GCCUCUCCAGUUUGAUGGCAAGUUCUCUGAGGCGGGGAAGGAGGAAUUUGACCCUGCAUAUCCCCAUAGCACCUAGCCCACUGCGAUGGGCAAAUCAAACUUCCAGAUCAAAAGAAAUGCUAUUCUUUUAUUUUUGCCAAAACAGCAUAACAGGCAAGGUUUGCCUCAUUUUUAGCCCUCUGUUAACUGAGACUGCAGGCCAGCUGAAAGGCAGACUUUCUCGCUCAUCCUAGUCGGAGGUUUUGUGGAAAGGAAUAAAUAUAUGGACUCUUCAACAAGAGGACAAAUACAGACAAUGAGAGGCACGUACAUGGCCCCAUGAACAAGCAUCGAUUUAAGCAUUCAACAAGUAUCAGUUCACCUGAACUUCAUAUCGACCCAAGGAAGGAGGUGGUGUUAUCAUCCUCACUUCACACACGAGGACAGAGGCCGAGUAGGGAAACUUGAAAAAGAAGUAUGGCAGUACGGGAGCCAAGUAAAUAGCAUCUUCCUGGAAGUGCAGGGAGACAACUCUUACCAGUCCACCCUGGAGAACCCGCUAAAUGGCGCUACCCAUGCUCCGUGGAGAUACCAGGUUCAAAUCUCUGGACAACCUAGAGAGUUGGCUGCAGAACCUGACGAGAAGCCAUGAGAGGAGUCUACUCCUUGGGUGAGGCCAUUAGGCCAACUGCGCCAUAUUCACCUGCUCAACAAUUUCCUGAGCGCCAAGAGCCCAGGUACAGAGGGCAAGUAAAGAAUGAUUCGGUAAGACUGUCCUCCAGGACUUUUUAUGAUCUAGCGAAGGAAUAAAAAAGACCUCAGCCCAAGGGAAAGCACAAAUAAACUAUAUGACAAUGUUAAAAACAGCAACGACUCCCAGGAAGGGUCUAAUUGGUCCAGACUGUUAUCAUUGAAAAGCAAUGCCCCCAAUGGGCAGAGUCCUUGUUUCAGAUCGCCUUCCAGGCUGUCCUAUCUACGUGUGAGCAAGUCCGUCGUCAUUUUGUUAAAUCAGGUACCUCAAUCCAACAUGGGUUAUGGAUGUGCCUGGAGGCCCACAAGACACAAUGCCAGGAGCUCAUCACCCUCUGCAGAAAGGAUCUGCGGUGUGGUGGGCACGCAGGGCUUUAUACACAGCCCUGUACCGUGGCCCCAGGCAGAGAAAGCUAAUAGGAGAAGAGGGACACCAGGAGGUGCUAAGGAGGAGAGAGACAGCUCUAAGGGAAGGAGAAGAAUAUUCUCUACAGGCGGAGAAACUUGGCCAAACCUUGGAUGGGGCCUUGAAAGAUGAGAGGAUUUGGAUCUGGGAAGGGAUGGUGGUCACUCCAGACAGAUUGGCUGCCAGGGACUCUGGAGGGGCAGGGCUAAUGCAUGCAUAUCUUGCCUGGCUCAGGAAUGCAAUCUUGGACAUUGAAGGUCCCUGGGGAGUGAUGUCCCUAGCAUUAUACUCUGUCACUUCCCAUUGUCCUACAAUCCAGCCAGCUCCCAUUCCUUCCCAUUCCCUUCACAGUGACCCUUCCAGGCUAGGAUGUUGGUGACACCUUUUUCCAGGUCCCAGGGCUUCCUGGCAAGCUGAAUUGCCAGCUGGCUUUUGCCCGUUUCCCUUAACCUGCCCUGAUGGCGUUGGGAGCUGGUGCUUUCACUCCCACACCUCUUGUCAGCCAUUGUGUGGCAACAGUAGAAAGAGAGCCAGAUGAGAUAGAACAGACUCUGUGAUGGAACAUACACAGAGGACACACUGGCUGGGAACAUUUGCAUAAGGUACACUAAUAGUCCCUGACCCAGAAGAUACCCUGAAGUGUGUCACACCAGCUUGCACUGGCCAAGACUAGGCAAUAGUACCCAGA